UACGCCAUGUGGUGGCGAUGCCACUUUUGCUGUGUUGGCUGUGUUGCAUAACCACAAUGAUUAAAACACUCAACACAAUUCGUUAGUACUGUAAUAGCACUGUUGCCUUAAAAUCAAAUAAAUAUAUUUGAAAAAGGGAAGUUUCGCGCCGAUGGCCCUUCUGCAUAGCACAAUACGUGGAUUGAGGUGAUUCGCGGAUUCAAGGAAUCGAUUACUCGCGUGGUGGAAAUGGCGGGAAACGCGGAGCUGGAGGAGACGCUGCGGGAAUUGCGGUCCCUGUGCGGGACCCUCGAUGAGGUGGUGUCCGAGUUCAGGGGAACCAAGGAGGCGCUGGAAGAGGCGUGCGUCAUCCAGGAACACCUCAACCAGAGUGUGAAGCCCAUCCAAGCUGGGUUCCUGAAGCCCACAUUCACCACAAGCCUGGGUCUACAAAGUGUGACUCAAGCGGAAAACGAUUAAUUGCCUCAAAGCGUUACACACUUGUUAAUGUAAAGUAUCCAAUUAUAUACGCAUGUGUACAUGCCUAUCACCAAAUCUCCCAAAAUGAGCCCGGUCCCAUCAUAAUUGAAGCUAAGCAUGCUUGAGCCUGGACAGUGCUUGGAUGUGUGACCGCCGUGGAUGAAAUGGGUUUAAAUAGGUGGUGUGGGCAGGAGAGUGCAGUCCAACAACAUCCACCGUUUGUACUCCCACCUUCAACAAACCGCAAUGACUGGCCAUAAAUACUGACUGGUCAAAAUAACUCUGACUGCCUGCAGGUCAUGGGAAAGUCCUCAUCCAGUAAUGGUUUGACAUGCACAAUAUGUAUAUAGAUCAAUACAGCAUUAGAUGCCUUUAUAGAGCAGUGGAUUCACAAAGAGCUGUCAAUGUAAUGUGUACAUAAAGUGAACAUUUGUUAUCAUAAAUGUGCUGUGCGUG